rnacentral:miRNA from 1 species
UUCUGAGACCUGGGAAAAGCAU